GAUAAACGCUGGCGGCGUGCCUAAUACAUGCAAGUCGAGCGAACGGACGAGAAGCUUGCUUCUCUGAUGUUAGCGGCGGACGGGUGAGUAACACGUGGAUAACCUACCUAUAAGACUGGGAUAACUUCGGGAAACCGGAGCUGAUACCGGAUAAUAUUUUGAACCGCAUGGUUCAAAAGUGAAAGACGGUCUUGCUGUCACUUAUAGAUGGAUCCGCGCUGCAUUAGCUAGUUGGUAAGGUAACGGCUUACCAAGGCAACGAUGCAUAGCCGACCUGAGAGGGUGAUCGGCCACACUGGAACUGAGACACGGUCCGGACUCCUACGGGAGGCAGCAGUAGGGAAUCUUCCGCAAUGGGCGAAAGCCUGACGGAGCAACGCCGCGUGAGUGAUGAAGGUCUUCGGAUCGUAAAACUCUGUUAUUAGGGAAGAACAUAUGUGUAAGUAACUGUGCACAUCUUGACGGUACCUAAUCAGAAAGCCACGGCUAACUACGUGCCAGCAGCCGCGGUAAUACGUAGGUGGCAAGCGUUAUCCGGAAUUAUUGGGCGUAAAGCGCGCGUAGGCGGUUUUUUAAGUCUGAUGUGAAAGCCCACGGCUCAACCGUGGAGGGUCAUUGGAAACUGGAAAACUUGAGUGCAGAAGAGGAAAGUGGAAUUCCAUGUGUAGCGGUGAAAUGCGCAGAGAUAUGGAGGAACACCAGUGGCGAAGGCGACUUUCUGGUCUGUAACUGACGCUGAUGUGCGAAAGCGUGGGGAUCAAACAGGAUUAGAUACCCUGGUAGUCCACGCCGUAAACGAUGAGUGCUAAGUGUUAGGGGGUUUCCGCCCCUUAGUGCUGCAGCUAACGCAUUAAGCACUCCGCCUGGGGAGUACGACCGCAAGGUUGAAACUCAAAGGAAUUGACGGGGACCCGCACAAGCGGUGGAGCAUGUGGUUUAAUUCGAAGCAACGCGAAGAACCUUACCAAAUCUUGACAUCCUUUGACAACUCUAGAGAUAGAGCCUUCCCCUUCGGGGGACAAAGUGACAGGUGGUGCAUGGUUGUCGUCAGCUCGUGUCGUGAGAUGUUGGGUUAAGUCCCGCAACGAGCGCAACCCUUAAGCUUAGUUGCCAUCAUUAAGUUGGGCACUCUAAGUUGACUGCCGGUGACAAACCGGAGGAAGGUGGGGAUGACGUCAAAUCAUCAUGCCCCUUAUGAUUUGGGCUACACACGUGCUACAAUGGACAAUACAAAGGGCAGCGAAACCGCGAGGUCAAGCAAAUCCCAUAAAGUUGUUCUCAGUUCGGAUUGUAGUCUGCAACUCGACUACAUGAAGCUGGAAUCGCUAGUAAUCGUAGAUCAGCAUGCUACGGUGAAUACGUUCCCGGGUCU
rnacentral:rRNA from 1 species